rnacentral:rRNA from 1 species
ACUCCUACGGGAGGCAGCAGUGAGGAAUUUUCCACAAUGGGCGAAAGCCUGAUGGAGCAAUACCGCGUGUAGGAAGAAGGCCCGUGGGUCGUAAACUACUUUUCUCAGAGAAGAAUAAAUGACGGUAUCUGAGGAAUAAGCUCCGGCUAACUCUGUGCCAGCAGCCGCGGUAAU